UCAAGCCGCAGGGUCCGGGUAUUGAGAU
rnacentral:sRNA from 1 species